rnacentral:rRNA from 1 species
GAUGAACGCUAGCGGCAGGCCUAAUACAUGCAAGUCGAACGGUGUAGCAAUACACAGUGGCGCACGGGUGCGUAACACGUAUGCAACCUACCUUACAUUGGGGGAUAGCCUUUCGAAAGGGAGAUUAAUACCGCAUAAGACAGUAACUAGGCAUCUAGUAGCUGUUAAAGAUUUAUCGAUGUAAGCUGGGCAUGCGUCCAAUUAGUUAGUUGGCGAGGUAAUGGCUCACCAAGACGAUGAUUGGUAGGGGAACUGAGAGGUCAAUCCCCCACACUGACACUGAGAUACGGGCCAGACUCCUGCGGGAGGCAGCAGUAGGGAAUAUUGGGCAAUGGGCGCAAGCCUGACCCAGCCAUGCCGCGUGCAGGAAGAAGGCGUUAUGCGUUGUAAACUGCUUUUAUACAGGAAGAAACGACCCUUGCGAGGGGCAUUGACGGUACUGUAUGAAUAAGCACCGGCUAACUCCGUGCCAGCAGCCGCCGUAACAC